UACGUAGGGCGCAAGCGUUGUCCGGAAUCAUUGGGCGUAAAGCGCGUGUAGGCGGCCCGGUAAGUCCGCUGUGAAAGUCCAGGGCUCAACCCUGGGAUGCCGGUGGAUACUGUCGGGCUCGAGUCCGGAAGAGGCGAGUGGAAUUCCUGGUGUAGCGGUGAAAUGCGCAGAUAUCGAGAGGAACACCGGUGGCGAAGGCGGCCUUCUGGACAGUGACUGACGCUGAGACACGAAAGCGUGGGGAGCAAACAGG
rnacentral:rRNA from 1 species